rnacentral:rRNA from 1 species
UACGGAGAGUGCAAGCAUUAAUCGGAAUUAUUGGGCGUAAAGGGCGCGUAGGCGGAACUAAAAGUCAGAUGUGAAAUUCCGAAGCUCAACUUCGGAGCUGCAUUUGAAACUUUAGAUCUAGAGGAUUGACGGAGAAAACGGAAUUCCACGUGUAGCGGUGAAAUGCGUAGAUAUGUGGAAGAACACCUGUGGCGAAAGCGGUUUUCUAGUUAAUACCUGACGCUGAGGCGCGAGAGCAAGGGGAGCAAACAGG